rnacentral:ribozyme from 15 species
CCACAACGAAAGUUUUUUUUUUUUUUUUUUUUUUUUAAAAGCACUCAUAAUAUCUUGAAAG